rnacentral:rRNA from 1 species
GACGAACGCUGGCGGCGUGCUUAACACAUGCAAGUCGAACGGUGAAGCUCCAGCUUGCUGGAGUGGAUCAGUGGCGAACGGGUGAGUAACACGUGAGCAACCUGCCCCUGACUCUGGAAUAAGCGCUGGAAACGGCGUCUAAUACUGGAUACGAGAAGGGUCCGCAUGGGCACUUUCUGGAAAGUUUUUCGGUUGGGGAUGGGCUCGCGGCCUAUCAGCUUGUUGGUGAGGUAAUGGCUCACCAAGGCGACGACGGGUAGCCGGCCUGAGAGGGUGACCGGCCACACUGGGACUGAGACACGGCCCAGACUCCUACGGGAGGCAGCAGUGGGGAAUAUUGCACAAUGGGCGAAAGCCUGAAGCAGCGACGCCGCGUGAGGGAUGACGGCCUUCGGGUUGUAAACCUCUUUCAGCAGGGAAGAAGCGAAAGUGACGGUACCUGCAGAAGAAGCACCGGCUAACUACGUG